UCUGUAGCUCAGUUGGAUAGAGCAACGGCCUUCUAAGCCGUGGGUCGGGGGUUCGAAUCCCUUCAGG
rnacentral:tRNA from 15 species